UUUUUUCCGUAGGGUGAACCUGCGGAGGGAUCAUUACACAAAUAUGAAGGCGGGCUGGAAUCUCUCGGGGUUACAGCCUUGCUGAAUUAUUCACCCUUGUCUUUUGCGUACUUCUUGUUUCCUUGGUGGGUUCGCCCACCACUAGGACAAACAUAAACCUUUUGUAAUUGCAAUCAGCGUCAGUAACAAAUUAAUAAUUACAACUUUCAACAACGGAUCUCUUGGUUCUGGCAUCGAUGAAGAACGCAGCGAAAUGCGAUAAGUAGUGUGAAUUGCAGAAUUCAGUGAAUCAUCGAAUCUUUGAACGCACAUUGCGCCCUUUGGUAUUCCAAAGGGCAUGCCUGUUCGAGCGUCAUUUGUACCCUCAAGCUUUGCUUGGUGUUGGGCGUCUUGUCUCUAGCUUUGCUGGAGACUCGCCUUAAAGUAAUUGGCAGCCGGCCUACUGGUUUCGGAGCGCAGCACAAGUCGCACUCUCUAUCAGCAAAGGUCUAGCAUCCAUUAAGCCUUUUUUCAACUUUUGACCUCGGAUCAGGUAGGGAUACCCGCUGAACUUAAGCAUAUCAAUAAACCCGGAGAGAAACCCC
rnacentral:rRNA from 1 species